AAAACACGAAGAAAACUAGAAAUGACAAUAAUUUUCACGGUAGGGGCAAAAUGGUCAUUUUUCACCUCGAGUUAAAAUUUUAAGUUUUCAUGAACCCGAGCAUGUCUAGACCAUUAUGGAUCUUGUCCCGGUGUCAAAGGAGUAAAAAGAUUGCACAAAGGGUUGCAUGAGAACAAGCUAACUAAUCAAGGGCAUUUUCGUAAUUUUAAGGGAAUGGAUAAGUUUGGCCUAUAAAUACUUUCUUCCAGCAGCUUCUUCUCCCAUUUUCCAACAGCUUGUCUUCUUCUUCUUCUUCUCUCUCACGUUUCUUCAAAACCUCCAUGGAAGCUUGAUAUGUAACUUGCAAAAUUUUCUCUCUCU
rnacentral:lncRNA from 1 species